rnacentral:rRNA from 1 species
UCCGUAGGCGGGCAAUUAAGUCAGAGGUGAAAUCCCACAGCUCAACUGUGGAACUGCCUUUGAUACUGGUUGUCUUGAGUUAUAAUGAAGUAGAUAGAAUAUGUAGUGUAGCGGUGAAAUGCAUAGAUAUUACAUAGAAUACCGAUUGCGAAGGCAGUCUACUAACUGUAUACUGACGCUAAUGGACGAAAGCGUGGGGAGCGAACAGGAUUAGAUACCCUGGUAGUCC